AUUUGGUGAUGUGGGCAGCUCGCACAGAGUUUUUUAAAGCGCUCCCAAUAUUCAUAUAAAGACUCUCCAAUCUGCUAUCUAAUGCCACAGAUUUCUUUCCUUAUGCU